GUGUUCACUUUGGCAGCAUAUACACUAAAAUGGGAAGAAUACAGAGAGAUUAGUAUGGCCCCUUGAGCAAAGAUGGCAUGCAAAUUCUAGGGUAAUCACCAAAGAAU
rnacentral:snRNA from 1 species